rnacentral:rRNA from 1 species
UGGGGAAUAUUGCACAAUGGAGGGAACUCUGAUGCAGCGACGCCGCGUGAACGAAGAAGGCUUUCGAGUCGUAAAGUUCUUUUAUAUGGGAAGAUAAUGACGGUACCAUAAGAAAAAGCCCCGGCUAACUACGUGCCAGCAGCCGCGGUAAUACGUAGGGGGCUAGCGUUGUCCGGAAUCACUGGGCGUAAAGGGUUCGCAGGCGGAAAUGCAAGUCAGGUGUAAAAGGCAGUAGCUUAACUACUGUAAGCCUUUGAAACUGCAUAUCUUGAGAAGAGUAGAGGUAAGUGGAAUUUUUAGUGUAGCGGUGAAAUGCGUAGAUAUUAAAAAGAAUACCGGUGGCGAAGGCGACUUACUGGGCUCAUUCUGACGCUGAGGAACGAAAGCGUGGGUAGCAAACAGG